GAACCAUCUCUCCAGUUCCAUUAGGAUUUUUGUUUCAAACUCGGAUCCCUGGUAUCUUAGUGUUUCUGUUGCUGUGAUGAGACACCAUGACUAUGGCAACUCUUCUAAAGGACAGCAUUUAAUUGAAGUGGCAGCUUACAGUUAAGAGGUACAGUCCACUAUCAUAAUGGCAGGACACGGUAGUGUGCAGGCAGCCAUGGUGCUGGAGAGGUAGCAGAGAGAGCUACGUCUUGCACAGGCAACAGUAAGUAGUCUCAGACACUAGGUGUAGCUUGAGCCUAUAGAGCUCAAAGCACUCUCCACAGUAACACGCUUCCUCCAACAAAGCCACACCUUCUAAUAAUGCCACUCCCUUUGGGGGCCUUUCAAACCACCACACCUGGGAAGAUCUGAGAUGGGGAAGCAUGUCUGAUGACUUUAAAAGCCAGCAGUAGCCAGGUGGUGGUGGCACACACCUUUAAUCCCAUCACUCAGAGGGCAGAGGCAGGUGGAUAUCUGAGUUUGAGGCCAGCCUGGUCUACAAAGCGAGUUCCAGGACCAGGCACUAAAGCUACACAGAGAAACCCUGUCUCAAAAAACCAAACCAAAAUAAAAUAAAAGGCAGCAGCAGCUUCAUAUUUGUCCAUGGAAGUGGAUGUUGUGGGAAGGGGUUUGAGUAGCAACCUGCAUCUCCCUGUUUGUAGACAUCACUGCACCAUGGCAUGGUGGCACACACAAACCUAGCACUCUGGAGACAGAUGCAGGAGUAUUACUGCAAGUUCAAGGCCAGCCUGGGCUAAGUUGUAAAUAUAACGCCAGCAAGUCGGACCCUAUUUAGGUUUUGUUUUGUUUUUAAGACAUCGCUGGAAUUGACAUCAGAGGAAAUGAAGCUCCUGGGCAUUAACUCCUAGGACCGUCUGGAUAGGGUCCUGCAGCAACCCAGAGCCACCUCAUCAUAGUUUGCCCCUUGGUAAAUGAGGGUUCCCUUACUCCAGUUUGUCUCAAGUAUGUAGUACCAUGUCACUCUAGUCAUGAACUGGCCAGAAAAGCCUCCUUUUCCAACUUCUGUCCUCAACAAUUCUGUCUAUUCCUAUGCUUGCCACCUUAACAUGGGAGGGUCAACAAAUGGAAAUAUUUGCUUCCAUCAUACCAAUGCACAUCACAGAGGGAGCAGGAAGCCUGCCAACUAGUUCUCAAGCUUCAGGUAAUCAAAAUGUUUGCACACUGUUUAUCCAUUUUAGGACUAAAAAUCUUUGUUCUCUGCACUUACACUUAGGAACGCCCCUGCCAAAAGAAUGAGUGAGUGAGUGUGUGUGUGUGUGUGUGUGUGUGUGUGUGUGUGUGUGUGUGUGUAGAGGAAGGGUGCUGGAGAGGUGGCUUUAGUGGUUAAGAACACUAGUUGGUCUUCCAGAGGUCCUGAGUUCAAUUCCGUGUGUGUGUGUGUGUGUGUGUGUAGGAAGGGUGCUGGAGAGGUGGCUUUAGUGGUUAAGAACACUAGUUGGUCUUCCAGAGGUCCUGAGUUCAAUUCCCAGCAACCACAUGGUGGCUCACAACCAUUUGUAAUGAUACCUGAUGCCGGCAGAACACUAUAUAUACAUAAUAAAUAAAUAAAUAAAUCUUUAAAAAAAAAAAAAGCCCCCUUUGGAAGCCCGGCGGGCGGGCGGUGGUGGCAACACAUUUUUCAUCCCAGC
rnacentral:lncRNA from 1 species